UAAACCUGUUGUUAAGUUUCCUAGAACUCUG
rnacentral:piRNA from 1 species